AUGAAGAAAAGUGCAGAACCAAGGAGAGAUGGUUGGAAGAAGCCUUGUGAAGGUUUUGUGAAGGUAAAUGUAGAUGCCUCUUUCAAAGCACACUCUCUCCAAGGAGCUGUAGGUGCUGUGCUACGAGAUUAUAAAGGUGCGUUCAUCGCGACAUCGAACGAACAGCUUGAGCAUGUCGCAGAUGCAGGGACGGCGGAAGCAUAUGCGUUACGACAUGGUCUACUUUUGGCGCAGCAGCUGGGGAUAAGCAAGCUUGUGGUGGAGUCGGACUGCCUCGAGGUGAUCAAUACUAUGAAUAAUGGAGGUUUUACGGCUUCAGGUGCAGCCGCAAUUUACUCUGGUUGUUUGGUUCUCAUCAUAGGAUACGCUUCGGUCACUUUUGUCCAUUGCCCGAGAGAGGCAAAUUCUGUAUCUCAUGAGUUAGCUAGGUUGGCGAGGCCUUCCCUAUCGCUUUGGGUGGAGGAACCGCUGACUUUCAUCGUAAAAGGCUUGGUGGACGAUGUAACAGUUUUUUGA
rnacentral:rRNA from 1 species